GACGAACGCUGGCGGCGUGCUUAACACAUGCAAGUCGAACGGAAAGGCCCUGCUUGCCGGGUACUCGAGUGGCGAACGGGUGAGUAACACGUGGGUGAUCUGCCCUGCACUUCGGGAUAAGCCUGGGAAACUGGGUCUAAUACCGGAUAGGAGCCAUUUUUAGUGUGAUGGUUGGAAAGUUUUUUCGGUGUAGGAUGAGCUCGCGGCCUAUCAGCUUGUUGGUGGGGUAAUGGCCUACCAAGGCGGCGACGGGUAGCCGGCCUGAGAGGGUGGACGGCCACAUUGGGACUGAGAUACGGCCCAGACUCCUACGGGAGGCAGCAGUGGGGAAUAUUGCACAAUGGGCGCAAGCCUGAUGCAGCGACGCCGCGUGGGGGAUGACGGCCUUCGGGUUGUAAACUCUUUUCGCUAGGGACGAAGCUUUUUGUGACGGUACCUAGAUAAGAAGCACCGGCUAACUACGUG
rnacentral:rRNA from 1 species